AGAAUCAACGCUGGCGGCGUGCCUAACACAUGCAAGUCGAACGCGAAAGUCCCGCAAGGGAUGAGUAGAGUGGCAAACGGGUGAGUAACACGUGGGUGACCUGCCUUCGAGCGGGGGAUAACGUCCCGAAAGGGACGCUAAUACCGCAUGACAUCCUGCCUUUGAAGAGGUGGAGAUCAAAGUUGGGGAUCGCAAGACCUAGCACUCGAAGAGGGGCCCGCGCCUGAUUAGCUAGUUGGUGGGGUAACGGCUCACCAGGGCGACGAU
rnacentral:rRNA from 1 species